UACAGAGGGUGCGAGCGUUGUCCGGAAUCACUGGGCGUAAAGCGCACGUAGGCGGACGCUUAAGUCAGGGGUGAAAUCCCGAGGCUCAACCUCGGAACUGCCUUUGAUACUGGGUGUCUUGAGUCCGGGAGAGGUGAGUGGAACUGCGAGUGUAGAGGUGAAAUUCGUAGAUAUUCGCAAGAACACCAGUGGCGAAGGCGGCUCACUGGCCCGGAACUGACGCUGAGGUGCGAAAGCGUGGGGAGCAAACAGG
rnacentral:rRNA from 1 species